GUGCGCCGCCGCGGUAAUACCGGCAGCUCAAGUGAUGUCCCAUAUUAUUGGGCCUAAAGCGUCCGUAGCUGGCUGCGCAAGUCCGUCGGGAAAUCCACUCGCCCAACGAGUGGGCGUCCGACGGAAACUGCACAGCUUGGGACCGGAAGGCUCGAAGGGUACGUUCGGGGUAGGAGUGAAAUCCUAUAAUCCCGCACGGACCACCGAUGGCGAAAGCACUUCGAGAAAACGGAUCCGACAGUGAGGGACGAAAGCUAGGGUCUCGAACCGGAUUAGAUACCCCUGUAGUCC
rnacentral:rRNA from 1 species